rnacentral:lncRNA from 1 species
GGGAAGACAAAAAUUCUUCAAUGUAGACGUCGGUUAUGAGGGGCACCGACGUCUAAGUUCCUGUAUUUUCACCAAAUUUGAUGGUUUUAGACGUCGGCUGUGAGGGGCACCGACGUGAACUACCCUGACAGGAAACCAAAACGUCAAUCUUUUUAGCUUCAUAGACGUCGGAUCCCUUGAAACACAGACGUCUAUAGACGUCGGUUUAGGGAACAACUGACGCCCCAUUUCAUUUUAAAUAGACCGCAGACUCUUC